UUCGAUUAAGCCAUGCGAGUCGAGAGGGUUCGGCCCUCGGCUGACUGCUCAGUAACACGUGGAUAACUUGCCCUCAGGUAGGGGAUAAUCUCGGGAAACUGAGGAUAAUACCCUAUAAACAUCCUUUGCUGGAAUGCUUGGAUGUUCAAAGGCAACGCCUGAGGAUAGGUCUGCGGCCUAUCAGGUUGUAGUGGGUGUAACGGACCCACUAGCCCGCGACGGGUACGGGCCUUGAAAGAGGUAGCCCGGAGAUGGACUCUGAGACACGAGUCCAGGCCCUACGGGGCGCAGCAGGCGCGAAAACUUCGCAAUGCGGGAAACCGUGACGAGGGAAUUCCGAGUGCUCAUACAAUGUAUGGGCUUUUCUGAUGUGUAAAAAGCAUUAGGAAUAAGGGCUGGGUAAGACCGGUGCCAGCCGCCGCGGUAAUACCGGCAGCUCUAGUGGUAGCCACUUUUAUUGGGCCUAAAGCGUCCGUAGCCGAUCAGGUAAAUCCUUGGGUAAAUCGUACAGCUUAACUGUGCGGCUUCCGGGGAGACUGCUUGACUUGGGACCGGGAGAGGUUGGAGGUACUCCUGGGGUAGGGGUGAAAUCCUGUAAUCCUAGGUGGACCACCGGUGGCGAAGGCGUCCAACCAGAACGGCUCCGACGGUGAGGGACGAAGGCUAGGGGCGCAAACCGGAUUAGAUACCCGGGUAGUCCUAGCUGUAAACGCUGCAGACUUGGUGUUGGAGAUCCUACGAGGGUGUCCAGUGCCGGAGAGAAGUUGUUAAGUUUGCCGCCUGGGAAGUAUGGCCGCAAGGCUGAAACUUAAAGGAAUUGGCGGGGGAGCUCCGCAACGGGAGGAGCGUGCGGUUUAAUUGGAUUCAACGCCGGAA
rnacentral:rRNA from 1 species